GGGAAACUCACCAGGUCCAGACAUAAUAAGGAUUGACAGAUUGAUAGCUCUUUCUUGAUUUUAUGGGUGGUGGUGCAUGGCCGUUCUUAGUUCGUGGAGUGAUUUGUCUGCUUAAUUGCGUUAACGAACGAGACCUUAACCUGCUAAAUAGGAGCGCCUAUCUUCGGAUAAGCGUCUUUCUUCUUAGAGGGACUUUAUGUGUCUAAUGCAAGGAAGUUUGAGGCAAUAA
rnacentral:rRNA from 1 species